GACAGAGGGUGCAAAUGUUGUUCGGAAUUACUGGGCGUAAAGCGCGUGUAGGCGGCUCGGAAAGUCGGGUGUGAAAGCCCUGGGCUCAACCCAGGAAGUGCACUCGAAACUCCCGAGCUCGAGUCCCGGAGAGGAAAGUGGAAUUCUCGGUGUAGAGGUGAAAUUCGUAGAUAUCGAGAGGAACAUCUGUGGCGAAGGCGGCUUUCUGGACGGUGACUGACGCUGAGACGCGAAAGCGUGGGGAGCAAACAGG
rnacentral:rRNA from 1 species